rnacentral:rRNA from 1 species
GACGAACGCUGGCGGCGUGUCUAAUACAUGCAAGUCGAACGCAGUGGGGACGGGUGAGUAACACGUGGGUAACCUCCCAUCAGAGGGGAUAACACUUGGAAACAGGUGCUAAACCGAUACUGAUGGAUGGACCCGGGGUGCAUUCGCUGGUUGGUGAGGUAACGGCUAACAAGGGCAACGAUGCAUAGCCGACCUGGUAGGGGGAGCGGCCACACUGGGACUGAGACACGGCCCAGACUCCUACGGGAGGCAGCAGUAGGGAAUCUUCGGCAAUGGACGAAAGUCUGACCGAGCAACGCCGCGUGAGUGAAGAAGGUUUUCGGAUCGUAAAACUCUGUUGUUAGAGAAGCGGUAUCUAACCAGAAAGCCACGGCUAACUACGUGCCAGCAGCCGCGGUAAUUC